rnacentral:rRNA from 1 species
UACGUAGGGUGCGAGCGUUGUCCGGAAUUAUUGGGCGUAAAGGGCUCGUAGGCGGUUUGUCGCGUCGGGAGUGAAAACCCAGGGCUUAACCCUGGGCUGGCUUUCGAUACGGGCAGACUAGAGGUAUGCAGGGGAGAACGGAAUUCCUGGUGUAGCGGUGAAAUGCGCAGAUAUCCGGAGGAAUACCAGUGGCGCAAGCGGCGCUCUGGGUCGAGCCUGACACUGAGACGCGAAGGCAUGGGGAGCGAACGGG